AACUCCCUGCUUUAAAUAUGUAACACCUACAUCUACGAGAAUUCGCCCCACAAGAUAGACCACCCCAACCGAGCUUUUUUACUUAAGAAGGACAGAACUAGCACGGUCAGUGAGAGUCGAUUUGAAAAGCUUCCGGUAUGUAUGUAUGUAUGCGCGGCGACUGGGUAAGCGUCAAAGGGUGACCGGUGGUGUGCGCGCGCGUGUGCACGUGCCGUGGGCGUGGAAGGGAAGGGGGCUGGCGCGGAGCCGAGCCGGUCAGUUGGGUUGCUUGGGGCCGCCGCGGUACCCGCUGCGGUGCCGGGGCCGCCCGUCGUUCUGCCGCCUCGACCUGCGUGGCGAGUCGCGGGAGCCGAAGCUCUAGCUCCUCCAGAGCGGCAGCGCAGAGUGGCCGGCGGAACAGCAGUGCCUGUGGACGACGGUCGGCAAGUUCCACGAGGUGCCGCCGCACAGCCGCGAGUAGCGCCUCCCGGACCGUUCGUACCCGCGCGUGUACCGCAGCCCGAUGGCGGCGCAGCGGCCGUACGUCGAGUCGUAGUUGGUGAAGGCCUCGCGGCGGCGGCCGCUGUGGCAGGAGCGCGCGCGGCAGGGGUAGGUGUAGCCGGCGAGGUGGGUCCAUACCCUCCACUUCGAUACCUUCUACCUACGUAGGUGUGUCCCCCUUCCCGGAGUUUAGCGGCUCCGUUCCCAGUGCGAGGAGACAUUAGAUGGGCACGGCCUACUCUACUUUUCACGCCCUCUUAGGGAAUCUUUUAUGAGAUUUGACAUUUUGAGCCCUGUUUAAUUCGAACUGUACCCUACUAGGUAACUAUACACUAAGACACUUUUUUAUAAGAACAUUCGAAGAAUGAAAAGCGAACACACUUGUGACUACCUAGUUGAGCCGUCUUUGUUAGAAGGACACACACCAACUACUUGGAGUGAUAGGUCGUUAAUGAUUAAAGCUUACACGAAGGUAAAACAUAAAUAAGUAG
rnacentral:rRNA from 1 species